AUUUUGAAUUUUUCUUCUACACUGUGGAAUUUUCAUUACAAAUCAAAAAAUUGGCCCCAGACCUCUAUUCCUCUUCCAUUAUCUUUACCAACUGUUGCUAGGUUCUGAACACACUGUUAAGUGUCACUUCUUCCUGCCCAUUUUCUACUGUCCCCAUCCUCCAGUGUCUGCCUAAACCGCUAUGAAGGGUCUGCUUUUACUUCUUGUCGGAGCUCCUGAAAUCCUGUCUGCAGCCCUGGUUGGGAGUAGGAGCUGGUGAGUUUCUGCCUUGAGACUCCAUGCUGGAAGAAGUUGGUGUGACACCGCCUUGCUGAGCUUGUGUACUGGGAGGAGGAGGAGCCAGAGAGCUGUCACCAUGCUGAACUGGUGUGGGAGGAGCCGAAUGUCUUGUAAAAUAAUCAGAUCAAUAAAAAGCCCGAAUCCUCGAUUGUUUGCCACUUUGAUCAAUGUAAUAUGCAAACUGGCUACAGCGGAUGACGAUCUGAAAGACUGACUUAAAGCUCAGAGACGGAAAGCUGAAUUCUGAAAUGGCAGCUACAGAAGAAACAAUUGAAACCUCUCAGAUUGAAAUAUGCCCCCUCC
rnacentral:lncRNA from 1 species